UGGUCCUGGCAUCUCCGACAUCCUGCA
rnacentral:piRNA from 1 species